rnacentral:rRNA from 1 species
UAGGGAAUCUUCGGCAAUGGACGAAAGUCUGACCGAGCAACGCCGCGUGAGUGAAGAAGGUUUUCGGAUCGUAAAACUCUGUUGUUAGAGAAGAACAAGGACGUUAGUAACUGAACGUCCCCUGACGGUAUCUAACCAGAAAGCCACGGCUAACUACGUGCCAGCAGCCGCGGUAAUACGUAGGUGGCAAGCGUUGUCCGGAUUUAUUGGGCGUAAAGCGAGCGCAGGCGGUUUCUUAAGUCUGAUGUGAAAGCCCCCGGCUCAACCGGGGAGGGUCAUUGGAAACUGGGAGACUUGAGUGCAGAAGAGGAGAGUGGAAUUCCAUGUGUAGCGGUGAAAUGCGUAGAUAUAUGGAGGAACACCGGUGGCGAAGGCGGCCCCCUGGACGAAGACUGACGCUCAGGUGCGAAAGCGUGGGGAGCAAACAGG